AGCGAACGUUAGCGGCGGGCUUAACACAUGCAAGUCGAGCGAGAAAAGGGCUUCGGCCCUGAGUACAGCGGCAGACGGGUGAGUAAUACGUAGGUAACCUUCCGUUUUGUGGGGACAACGGUCCGAAAGACCGCUAAUACCGCAUACGUCUCCUGGGACCUCGGUUCCGGGAGGGAAAGCCUCGCAAGGGGCGCAGAAUGAGGGGCCUAUGUCGCAUCAGCUAGUUGGUGGGGUAAUGGCCUACCAAGGCGAAGACGCGUAGCUGGUCUGAGAGGAUGAUCAGCCACACUGGGACUGAGACACGGCCCAGACUCCUACGGGAGGCAGCAGUGGGGAAUAUUGGACAAUGGGCGCAAGCCUGAUCCAGCCACGCCGCGUGAGUGAUGAAGGCCU
rnacentral:rRNA from 1 species